UUCACAGCGGCGGUCAAUUACAUUCGAGCAUAUAUAAGAUGAGGAGAGUCAGGCGCCAGUUUUCUCCUCGCUCGCUUCAGGUGAAGCAGAAACUCCUAUGGCCACCAGCUGCUAUUUGCCCCCGGAGAGGGUUUACGAGCACAACAAUCCCGUCCCAAAAUAAUGACCUUAGGUAAAACAACUCACAACAGCGCUCUCUAGGCUGCAGUAAGUUGUGCCAGACAGGAUGCUCUCUGCAGAGAGCCCUCCAUCCACGCUCUCCGUGCCUCGAGGAAGGCUUUCCUCUGCCCUUGGCUGCCCAACGCGCAGAGGCGGAGGGCUCACAGCUUUGCUCUCUGCUUCCCCAGGACGCCCGGAGCCCUCGCAGGAUACGAGGCCGGGCUGCGGGCUGUCUGUGGGGCAGGGGCUGAGCCCGGCGCCGGGAGGUGCCUGCCCCGAGCUGGUACCCCGGGCACAGCCCGGCACCCGGCGGUGUUUACCCAUGACUCAGGGCCAGGCGAGGGAUGCAAAGACUUCGCAAGGAAGCUUUUCUGCCAUCUUCAGUUGA
rnacentral:lncRNA from 1 species